rnacentral:rRNA from 1 species
AGCGCAGGCGGACCGGCAAGUUGGAAGUGAAAACUAUGGGCUCAACCCAUAAAUUGCUUUCAAAAUUGCUGGCCUUGAGUAGUGCAGAGGUAGGUGGAAUUCCCGGUGUAGCGGUGGAAUGCGUAGAUAUCGGGAGGAACACCAGUGGCGAAGGCGACCUACUGGGCACCAACUGACGCUGAGGCUCGAAAGCAUGGGUAGCAAACA